rnacentral:rRNA from 1 species
GACGAACGCUGGCGGCGUGCCUAAUACAUGCAAGUAGGACGCAGUUGCGAACGGGUGAGUAACGCGUAGGUAACUACCUAUUAGAGGGGGAUAACUAUUGGAAACGAUAGCUAAUACCGCAUACUAGUAGAUGGACCUGCGUUGUAUUAGCUAGUAGGUAGGGUAAUGGCCUACCUAGGCAACGAUACAUAGCCGAACUGGGAGGGUGUUCGGCCACACGGGGACGGGGACACGUCCCAGACUCCUACGGGAGGCAGCAGUGGGGAAUCUUCGGCAAUGGGGGGAAGCCUGACCGAGCAACGCCGCGGGAGGGAAGGAAGGUUUCGGAUCGGAAAGCUCUGUUGUGAAGGAAGCGGUACUUAACCAGAAAGGGACGGCUAACUACGUGCCAGCAGCCGCGGUAAUAC